rnacentral:lncRNA from 10 species
GUUUUAUCCGGGGUUUCCGCUUUUGCGUCUUCGUCAUUUUUCUCUUGCUACCACCAUUUGAGAAGUGCCUUUCGCCUCCUGCCAUGAUUCUGAGGUCCUCCCAAGCUAUGGGGAACUGUAAAUACAAUUAAACCUCUUUUUCUUCCCAGUCUCCGGUAUGUCUUUAUCAGCAGCAUGUAAAGGGACUAAUCCAGAGAGCCCCACCUGGAAGACUCUAGGUUCUCAUCUUCAUGCCCCGAUGUAAGGAGAGUGGUCCUUCUGUACAUCAGGAGUCUGAAAUGCAUCUCACUGGGCUAAAAUCAAGAUCUGUGGCACAUGGAACCACAUGUGGGACAAGAGACUAAUAAAGAUGUGACCUACUCACAGAGGCUUCAGGUGUUUUGCGAAGUACAUUGGCUUUUAUUCAACGUGCAGUGGGACUCCAACUAAAGUGUUUCAGGAAGGCACGGCCCUUUUGUGAUCUCCUGGUUCUUGUAAAUCUCACUGUGGCUGAUGAGGUCUGGAUAGAUAAUCAUGAUGGUGGCUGAAGAGAGACAAUGGUGGUGCUAGGUUACCAGUGGCGUGGAGCUCAGAGCUAAUGCAGAGCAGCUGGAGCAGUGCUGAGUUUCAAAACGUGUUGGAAAAAAUAUUAUAUGAAUGAUGCUAUUUUUUUCACUGAAUCACAUCAAGAAGCACAUGAUGUUAAGCUGUCUCAUCAUUGGUGGUGUUAACUUGGAUCGCUUGAUUAAGCCCGAGAACUACUCACUCUGGGUCUCCUCUCCACUGAGGGCUGCACACAUGCCGGGAUGACCUGCCUGUGGAAAGGAGCUACAACUUCAGGUCUCCUGAGAGCUGUAGAGAUACCAAGUAAGCACAUGCUGUUG